GUUCCGGAGAUAUUGUGUUGUCUGCCAGCUUAGCUAACCACGGACAUAUCUUCGUGAACAAACCGGAUCUAUAAUAUAACCAGUUGACGGAAAAAAAAAACACAACUCUCUUUUUCAGUGAACAAACCGGAUCAUAGUGGGAGUAGAUCAAAUCACUAAACAGUAACACCCAUCUCCACGUGGCGUACAUAUCGAGGAGAGUUUAUCUUACGCGCGAAGCCUUGUGCGUGCGUAGAAUAAUAACAACAACUAAACGAGAACUUUGCAAAUAAGUCCUUACACAAACUAUUUUAUGCAUAGAGUUCGCGAGGUAUGAAAAUUGCUAAAUAAUUCUCCUGUUUUUUCUUACAGUUAACUUCU
rnacentral:lncRNA from 1 species